GUAGGUGAACCUGCGGAAGGAUCAUUACCGUGAAGCGGCCGGGCUCGCCCGCGCCCGCUCCCAAAACCGUGUCUACCAGCCAGUUGCUUCGACGGGACGUCGGGCCCAGCCCGCCGGCGGCGGCGCCGCCGAGCGCCCGUCCGAGGAUCUCCAGAACCCGCGUCACCCGCAGUCCGAGAGGAGCGAGAAACGAACAAAACUUUCAACAACGGAUCUCUUGGUUCCG
rnacentral:misc_RNA from 1 species